CUACAUAUCUAAAAAAGCGGAAGAAAAGAGGGCAUUUAUUGAGGCCAAAAGAGGGGAAGAUUUCUUGAAGGUAGAAGAGAUAUUUGCAAAGUACAGGGCAAGUGGAACAGCCACAAAGAAACUCUUUUACAUAUCAAGAUAUUUUGAAGCCAGAUUUCCUCUGGGAUAAUGUAUUGGAGCCUUUUCCGUACACAGAAAGAUACUUCCGAUUUCUCAAAAUUUGUCUCUCUUCUCCUAACCAUUAUGCACUGGUAGAAUGGGUUAGCUCUCGCUUUGGAGGUCUUCUUCUGCCUGUAAGUAGCACAAAUGGUAAAUUUGGUUUCUCAUAUAAUUGCAUUCACUUUUACUUUAGAAGUUACUAUGAUCCAUACCAUUCAUUAUAAUCACACUGGAGAUGCUUCACUAUUUAUCUGUAAGUAUUUUUCUUUUACGAGACAUGAUGUUUUCCAUUUAAACCAUAACUAUAUUAAUGUCACUUUUAUGGGCUUGGCAUAAAUAUUUGUUGUAAAAAUAUGCUUUGCUGUUGUUAAUUUGAAUGUUACUUCUGGAAACCUCCCUCAUAAUCAUGAAUCAAUCAGGAAUGAAUUUUGUUGUCAGCUUUGUUUGUUGUAGUUGGAGGUUACUCAAGGAUUUUGUGACUCUAACCUUACAGAAUAUGUUGAUAGUGAGAAAACAGAGCCAAAUGUAGUUUUCUAUUAGGAUUUGAAAUCUAACGAAUAAUUUCCUGAACAUCGAUUCGAUAAAGGGGGAGUUCAUGAAGAUUAUAAAGAAUGACUAUGAAGGUUCUCCUGGGAAGAUGGAGAUGUCCAUCCUGUUAGCUUCUCAGCUGCCAAAUUGAUGUUAAGAAAAGGAAUCCGCUCUUUCAUAUUGGCUUGUUUGCAAUGUAUCACCAGUUCCAGUGAGGAUU